AAAAAAGGAUAUUGGCUGGUUGUUACAUUUACUAAUGUGUAACAUGUAGAAUGAACGAUAUUCAUUAAUGUUUUCAAUGUGAACGUGAUUCAGUCAUGUAGGAUUGGCAUGAACUUCAAAAACGUAACGUUUAUUAGAUCCAUUCAUGUUGCGAUUAACUGAGACAAUCGAGUAGCCAGGCAUGACCGCGAAAACCAAGGCGAGGGCAGUCUUCGUCAGAACCAGAUUAAGAAGAUACACCGUUGGCCGCACAUGGAAAAGCAAUUUCUGACUGCAAAAGUGUCCUGUGUCUGCUAUCCCCCAAAGUGUGUCUUGGAUCAACCUCACUGACUACACCAUCCCACUACAAGUCUCCUGGAAUUCAAGAGAAUCACAACAAUCAAUUUGCAGUCAAAGUUCUUCUCCCAGCUGGAUCUGUACUCUGAAAACCUGAUCCAGGUGUAUGCCAAGAAAAGUGGAGUUCAAGGGAGAAAGAUCAAGAGCAUCAUAACCCAGACUGCCAGCAUUGACGUCAGACGAGAAUGCGUCCUCAAAGGUCUAUGUGUUUACUUGAACGAAGAUCCAGAGAAGCUGGUGAAGGAAUACACGAAUAUUGAAAGCAGUCAAACAGCUAUGGCGGAGACAGUCUUUGCGAUCCAUGUGAUUCGAAAAGAAGGAGCGGAGCCCAGUGAUGACCCAGAUGAAGUCGGAGUCAUUCUGGAGGGGGUGGAAGUGCUGAGCGAGUUGGGAAAUGUACCCUUUGCAGUGUCAAUGUUGCUUGCGCUUGUGUAUGCUCUCAACUUGAGCUACCCUCGAGAGCUCAAGUAUACUUUUGAAGUUCUGCAGAAAAUAAUAAUGGAACUAGACCCAAACAAACUAUCCAUAAAAGGACAAGCUCUCAAAAUAAAGCUAUCCCGUUAGACACAUUAUGAUGGCUAAAGCAGAUUAGACACUUCUGUGUGUGUUUAUUAUUUUCUGUAUUCCUGCGUGUUCACCAGUGCAUUAAUUAAGUAAUCACAAGUCUUUAAGAUGAAUGUUGUGAAUGUAAGAGGAUAAGAGGGAUGUUUGUACAAAGACAAAGUCUUCAGAGUUCAGGUCAAGACUGCACUAAUAACCACUGUUAGCACUUUCAAAAAUGUAUUUUAAUUGUGUAAGUGUCAUAGAAAGUUGAGAAAAGCUUUUGAUAUGUAUGUUUAUAAGAGAAGCUGCUCAUUAAAACAUUAUUCAGUGCCUACUUUGAGAAAUACAGUUGUAUUGCAACAUCUCUCAUUUGUCUUGUUUCCAGCCAAAACAGUUGUAUAUUUUGUUAAAACUUAGUUUUAGUUGUGGUUCAGGGUAAAUGUUAACACUAACAUUUUUAGUAUUACUAUAGCGAAAUCAUGGAAAGUAUUUCAACAUAAUUUAACUGCUUUCUUUAAGCAAUAAGCAAUUAAGUUGGUUCACUAUAAUAUACUCAAGUCGGAUCAACGUAAUUUAUUAGAGUUAGUCCAACCUAUUUUUCUUGGGCAGGAUUAAAUUGAAUAAUUUGGGUUGGUCUAACUUCAUUGACUAGCCUACAUUUUACUAAUGUGGCAUUAGUCAAACCAACCGUAUUCAUUUGAGUUUGACACAACCCAAGAAAAUGCGUUGAACCAACCAUAAUAAAUUAAGUUGAUCCUACUCAAAUACAUCAAGUCGUAUCAACAUAAUUUCUUUAUGCUCAAAGAAUCAAUAAAAUAGUGUGCAAAUCAUUUCCAUGAUUUUAUUAAGUUCGUUGAAAGCGUUGUUUUUUUGAGUGCG